GGGAAUAGCUCAGAGGUAGAGCACAACCUUGCCAAGGUUGGGGUCGCGGGUUCAAAUCCCGUUUCCC
rnacentral:tRNA from 1 species